rnacentral:rRNA from 1 species
GGUUAAGCGACUAAGCGUACACGGUGGAUGCCCUGGCAGUCAGAGGCGAUGAAGGACGUGCUAAUCUGCGAAAAGCGUCGGUAAGGUGAUAUGAACCGUUAUAACCGGCGAUGUCCGAAUGGGGAAACCCAGUGCAAUUCGUUGCACUAUCGUUAACUGAAUACAUAGGUUAACGAGGCGAACCGGGGGAACUGAAACAUCUAAGUACCCCGAGGAAAAAAAAUCAACCGAGAUUCCCCCAGUAGCGGCGAGCGAACGGGGAGCAGCCCAGAGUCUGAAUCAGCUUGUGUGUUAGUGGAACGGUCUGGAAAGUCCGACGGUACAGGGUGAUAGUCCCGUACACCAAAAUGCACAGGUUGUGAACUCGAAGAGUAGGGCGGGACACGUGGUAUCCUGUCUGAAUAUGGGGGGACCAUCCUCCAAGGCUAAAUACUCCUGACUGACCGAUAGUGAACCAGUACCGUGAGGGAAAGGCGAAAAGAACCCCGGCGAGGGGAGUGAAAAAGAACCUGAAACCGUGUACGUACAAGCAGUGGGAGCACCUUCGGGUGUGACUGCGUACCUUUUGUAUAAUGGGUCAGCGACUUAUAUUCUGUAGCAAGGUUAACCGUAUAGGGGAGCCGCAGGGAAACCGAGUCUUAACUGGGCGUUAAGUUGCAGGGUAUAGACCCGAAACCCGGUGAUCUAGCCAUGGGCAGGUUGAAGGUUGGGUAACACUAACUGGAGGACCGAACCGACUAAUGUUGAAAAAUUAGCGGAUGACUUGUGGCUGGGGGUGAAAGGCCAAUCAAACCGGGAGAUAGCUGGUUCUCCCCGAAAGCUAUUUAGGUAGCGCCUCGUGAAUUCAUCUUCGGGGGUAGAGCACUGUUUCGGCUAGGGGGUCAUCCCGACUUACCAACCCGAUGCAAACUACGAAUACCGAAGAAUGUUAUCACGGGAGACACACGGCGGGUGCUAACGUCCGUCGUGAAGAGGGAAACAACCCAGACCGCCAGCUAAGGUCCCAAAGUCAUGGUUAAGUGGGAAACGAUGUGGGAAGGCACAGACAGCCAGGAUGUUGGCUUAGAAGCAGCCAUCAUUUAAAGAAAGCGUAAUAGCUCACUGGUCGAGUCGGCCUGCGCGGAAGAUGUAACGGGGCUAAACCAUGCACCGAAGCUGCGGCAGCGACACUAUGUGUUGUUGGGUAGGGGAGCGUUCUGUAAGCCUGCGAAGGUGUGCUGUGAGGCAUGCUGGAGGUAUCAGAAGUGCGAAUGCUGACAUAAGUAACGAUAAAGCGGGUGAAAAGCCCGCUCGCCGGAAGACCAAGGGUUCCUGUCCAACGUUAAUCGGGGCAGGGUGAGUCGACCCCUAAGGCGAGGCCGAAAGGCGUAGUCGAUGGGAAACAGGUUAAUAUUCCUGUACUUGGUGUUACUGCGAAGGGGGGACGGAGAAGGCUAUGUUAGCCGGGCGACGGUUGUCCCGGUUUAAGCAUGUAGGCUGGUUAUCCAGGCAAAUCCGGAUAAUCAAGGCUGAGGUGUGAUGACGAGGCACUACGGUGCUGAAGUAACAAAUGCCCUGCUUCCAGGAAAAGCCUCUAAGCAUCAGGUAACAUCAAAUCGUACCCCAAACCGACACAGGUGGUCAGGUAGAGAAUACCAAGGCGCUUGAGAGAACUCGGGUGAAGGAACUAGGCAAAAUGGUGCCGUAACUUCGGGAGAAGGCACGCUGGUGUGUAGGUGAAGUCCCUGCGGAUGGAGCUGAGACCAGUCGAAGAUACCAGCUGGCUGCAACUGUUUAUUAAAAACACAGCACUGUGCAAACACGAAAGUGGACGUAUACGGUGUGACGCCUGCCCGGUGCCGGAAGGUUAAUUGAUGGGGUUAUCCGUAAGGAGAAGCUCUUGAUCGAAGCCCCGGUAAACGGCGGCCGUAACUAUAACGGUCCUAAGGUAGCGAAAUUCCUUGUCGGGUAAGUUCCGACCUGCACGAAUGGCGUAAUGAUGGCCAGGCUGUCUCCACCCGAGACUCAGUGAAAUUGAACUCGCUGUGAAGAUGCAGUGUACCCGCGGCAAGACGGAAAGACCCCGUGAACCUUUACUAUAGCUUGACACUGAACAUUGAGCCUUGAUGUGUAGGAUAGGUGGGAGGCUUUGAAGCGUGGACGCCAGUCUGCGUGGAGCCAACCUUGAAAUACCACCCUUUAAUGUUUGAUGUUCUAACGUUGGCCCCUUACCGGGGUUGCGGACAGUGUCUGGUGGGUAGUUUGACUGGGGCGGUCUCCUCCCAAAGCGUAACGGAGGAGCACGAAGGUUAGCUAAUCCUGGUCGGACAUCAGGAGGUUAGUGCAAUGGCAUAAGCUAGCUUGACUGCGAGCGUGACGGCGCGAGCAGGUGCGAAAGCAGGUCAUAGUGAUCCGGUGGUUCUGAAUGGAAGGGCCAUCGCUCAACGGAUAAAAGGUACUCCGGGGAUAACAGGCUGAUACCGCCCAAGAGUUCAUAUCGACGGCGGUGUUUGGCACCUCGAUGUCGGCUCAUCACAUCCUGGGGCUGAAGUAGGUCCCAAGGGUAUGGCUGUUCGCCAUUUAAAGUGGUACGCGAGCUGGGUUUAGAACGUCGUGAGACAGUUCGGUCCCUAUCUGCCGUGGGCGCUGGAGAAUUGAGGGGGGCUGCUCCUAGUACGAGAGGACCGGAGUGGACGCAUCACUGGUGUUCGGGUUGUCAUGCCAAUGGCACUGCCCGGUAGCUAAAUGCGGAAGAGAUAAGUGCUGAAAGCAUCUAAGCACGAAACUUGCCCCGAGAUGAGUUCUCCCUGAGACUUUAAGUCUCCUGAAGGAACGUUAAAGACGAUGACGUUGAUAGGCCGGGUGUGUAAGCGCAGCGAUGCGUUGAGCUAACCGGUACUAAUGAACCGUGAGGCUUAACCUU